GGAUGAGCCCGCGGCCUAUCAGCUAGUUGGUGGGGUGAUGGCCUACCAAGGCGACGACGGGUAGCCGGCCUGAGAGGGUGACCGGCCACACUGGGACUGAGACACGGCCCAGACUCCUACGGGAGGCAGCAGUGGGGAAUAUUGCACAAUGGGCGGAAGCCUGAUGCAGCGACGCCGCGUGGGGGAUGACGGCCUUCGGGUUGUAAACCCCUUUCGCCCGGGACGAAGCGAGAGUGACGGUACCGGGAGAAGAAGCACCGGCCAACUACGUGCCAGCAGCCGCGGCCG
rnacentral:rRNA from 1 species